rnacentral:lncRNA from 10 species
AACAUUUUGGAUAAUAAAAGAUUCACUCACUUCUAUUGGAGAAGUGACGACGCUGAGUGGACAGAAGUAGAAUGAAAAACUCAACCUGUGAAGCACCCUGAUGUACCAAAUGACUUUUUUUUUUUCUUUUUGAGAUGGAGUCUUGCUCUGUUGCCCAGGCUGGAGUGAUCUUGGCUUACUGCAACCUCCGCCUCCCAGGUUCAAGUGAUUCUCAUGCCUCAGCCUCCCGAGUAGCUGGGAUUACAGGUGCGCGCCCCCACGCCCGGCUGAUGUUUGUAUUUUUAGUAGAGACGGGGUUUCAACAUGUUGGCCAGGCUGGUCUUGAGCUCCUGACUUCAGGUGAUCCACCUGCCUCGGCCUCCCAAAGUGCUGGGAUUAUAGGCAUGAGCCACUGCGCCUGGCCUGUACUAGAUGACUUUUAUGUGAGAUCUCAGUUAUGCAGUUGAAAGCGUUACACCAGAGAGCUGUGCCUGUUGUGCCAUUUGGAGAAGAAAGCUCGGCAAUGGUGCAGUGAGAGGGACACACGUUCCCCCUUUAGUCCUCCUCCUGGACUGAGCUGGAGAGAAACAGCACGAACAAUGAAGAGUGUAAAUUUGAAAAUAGUAGGAAACAACUCGCUUAUUUUAAUGUGUAUAUUUAAAGGCGUUAAUUCAAAACAUCCAGAAGAAAUUAAAAGCAUCCCCUUUUCAGUCAGCAAAUAUUAACAAAGCCCCCACUAUGUUUGAGUUGUGCUUAUGGAAUGAGGUCUUGAACAUGUGUGACCUUUUUUUUCUAGAAGAGCAAAGUUGACCUCUCCAGGUCAAAUGUUUAUUUUACUCAUUUAAAAUAAAAAAUUCAUUUAGAAAUAUAUUUCAUAUUUUCCAUGUUCCUUAAGUAGACUCUAUGGAAUAUAAUUAGAUCCUAGCUUAAUGAUUUACCACCCACAAUAGUACUGUCUGGCCAGUAUUUAUGCUUGGGUACAACAAUCCUCUUCCGUCUAAUGAGCAGUCUCUAACUAUACGGCACAUUUGCUGUCAUCUAAGAAAUCAGAUAACCCUGAUUACUAGAACUGUAUUUAAAGUAAGAGUCAACAUGACAUGAGUACGUGUCUUCGAAAAUAAUGUAAUUGAGUUUUAAUGAAUGAGUUUCACAACUGUUCUUUCAGCUACUGAAUGGCUCUGGGUCAAAGUUCUCAAAGACCCUGGUGAGGCUGAGAAGUCUAACCUUGAACUGUGUGAAGUAUUUCUGUACCUAAAAAUACCUAUUCAAAUAUAUUUGAAACAAGUUAUUAAAGAUAUUAAACAUAUUG